UAGGGAAUCUUCGGCAAUGGGGGCAACCCUGUCCGAGCAACGCCGCGUGAGUGAAGAAGGUUUUCGGAUCGUAAAGCUCUGUUGUAAGAGAAGAACGUGUGUGAGAGUGGAAAGUUCACACAGUGACGGUAACUUACCAGAAAGGGACGGCUAACUACGUGCCAGCAGCCGCGGUAAUACGUAGGUCCCGAGCGUUGUCCGGAUUUAUUGGGCGUAAAGCGAGCGCAGGCGGUUUAAUAAGUCUGAAGUUAAAGGCAGUGGCUUAACCAUUGUUCGCUUUGGAAACUGUUAAACUGGAGUGCAGAAGGGGAGAGUGGAAUUCCAGGGGUAGCGGUGAAAUGCGUAGAUAUAUGGAGGAACACCGGUGGCGAAAGCGGCUCUCUGGUCUGUAACUGACGCUGAGGCUCGAAAGCGUGGGGAGCAAACAGG
rnacentral:rRNA from 1 species